GGAUGUAUACCUCAGUGGCAAAGCACCUGCCUGGCAAGUACAAGAUCCUAAGUUCAAUUCUUGGUACUCCCC
rnacentral:tRNA from 1 species